rnacentral:tRNA from 1 species
GCUCCCCUGACGAGAUUUUCACCGCUACGGCCUCCGGAGCCGUGUGCGCAGGUUCGAAUCCUGCAGGGGGCA